CGAAGGGUGCAAGCGUUACUCGGAAUUACUGGGCGUAAAGCGUGCGUAGGUGGUUCGUUAAGUCUGAUGUGAAAGCCCUGGGCUCAACCUGGGAAUGGCAUUGGAAACUGGCGACCUAGAGUGCGGUAGAGGGCAGUGGAAUUCCCGGUGUAGCAGUGAAAUGCGUAGAGAUCGGGAGGAACAUCUGUGGCGAAGGCGACUGCCUGGACCAGCACUGACACUGAGGCACGAAAGCGUGGGGAGCAAACAGGAUUAGAUACCCUGGUAGUCCACGCCCUAAACGAUGCGAACUGGAUGUUGGGUGCAACUAGGCACUCAGUAUCGAAGCUAACGCGUUAAGUUCGCCGCCUGGGGAGUACGGUCGCAAGACUG
rnacentral:rRNA from 1 species